GAGGCAGCGGAGGCGGGGCUAGUUUAAAAAUAGUUGGGUUGCGCAGGAUGCUGAGGGAGAGGCGGCAGCGCGGACGCUGUUCUUGGGGACCUAAAAGGUCGAAAAGGGAAACGGCAGCCAGGCUCAGGGACAGCUGUGCCUGCGAACCAGCUCCACAUCUAUAUGUAUCUUCCUUAUAUUGCUUUACUGCAACCCCUCCCCCCUCCACGCACUCAUUGGACACUGAGGCAGGACUGGCGUGCGUGUGUGCUCCCAACAGAAACUGACCCUUUCUCCUCCGCCGUUACCUGUAGAUCGAAGCUCAGUGUUAUUAUUAUGUCCUCUUCCGAGGGAGCAAAAGCAGGGCAGCAACACCCGUCAUGUCCCCCUCAAGCAAAUCACUCCUUCGCUCAGUCCGUUUACCUCACACCGGCCAUUCCAUUUCCCAGCCAUAAGCCCCCUUUUCCUUCCCGCAUUAUGCUGUGCCUUCCACACGUUGACAUAAUAGUUAACGACACUCCACUCCUCCCCAUCAUUUUAGGAGGAAAUUGCCUCACAAAUUCACUUCUCUGAUGAGAGCUAGAAAUCCCCUCAGCCUUCGCGCAACCCACAUUUCUCUGGGACCCAAGUCCCCUCAAGUCCGCAUAAUUCACCUUGCCUUGCUCCGGUGGAAGGGCCAAAAUCAGUGCUAAAGCUGCACAUUCAGAAGGUCCUGGGUCCAGCCUCUUUCAUCUCCAGACCUCCCAGCGAUGUACCUCAUGCUCGCCUCCAAGGAUUUAAUUGUUCUUAUCUGCCAUUUCUAUGGGAGGAUUUGAACAAAGCCAGGAACCAUAUACGCCAGUUAAGUAUCACCAAUGGUUUUGAAUAUCAGCUGAGUUACACUUUGAGCUUUAAUAAAUCUUGUAUUUUCUCUGUGAUUCUUCCCUCCUUUGUCAGACUUCAGGAAGUCUGACUUUUCUCAGUAGUGGUUCUAUUUCCACAGGUACAGAUGCCUUUAGUGCUACUCUUACAUGUUUUUAAAAAGGGUAGAGUAUUGACAUGGGCAGUGACAUAUCAGAAAAGUGAACCUAUUGCAACUCAGCACAUAUUCAUUAUAAUUAUUACAGUGAAUAUCAUGUUUGUCCCUAUUUUUUGUUUAUUUCAGUCAAUUUUAUGGUUAAUGAAACAUAACAGGAUGUGUACACAGAACAAGUGCAAUACUCCUGAUAGUAUGGCAAGUCAAUUGGACUUCCCCUUGUAGCUUAGGAGCUCCCCAUCUGGCAGCAGCCUAAGUCUCAAUUAUUUCAAUGGGAGAGACAGAUUAAUUCUCUCCCUGAAAUCAAUGGAACCUAGCCUAGUUUUGUUCUAUGUGUUCUAAAAGUAGCCAUAAAAUAGUUCCUUGAUGGUUUGAGUUGUCAUUUGAUGUCAUAUCCACUGUCAAAUGCAUAACAACUACAGAAACAUUUCACAUUAGCUGGGGAAAGAAUCACAUUUUCCCAAUGGCAUUAUAUAGCAGUUUGAGCAUUGGGAAUAUGUGACAUUUCCACAAGAAAAGUGUUUUCUUGAAAGAACUGUACCUUUGCUGCUUGGUUGUCUGGAAAGCUCCUUGAUUUCUUGCUAUAUUUCAUGCCCGUGUAAUAUGCUUCCUCUCUUUAUUUCCUUGCACAGAGUCAACUGACUCCACUCAAAAGCCAUUAAGCUCAAUCAACCCUUUUUGUUACAAAUGCCAUCAGGAAUGCUGCCGCCAGCAGCAGGUUACAGGAGAAUGGAUGCGCUUGCAUUUCUGUGCUCCCAGCACAUUUACAGGAGGCUGCAGUGAGGUUUGCUGCAGAGGACACCGCUGGGUAUUGUAUGUUACUGAGGGCUGUGAGAUAUAGCGAGGAGAACUAAAUAACCAAGUACCUGAAUGCACUUUCUUUUCUGUGUCUAUUUUCUAUCCUCUCAAACUCCUCAGAUGCCAAAACCAUCCCACUGUCUGUCUGAUUGUCCUGCAAGGGAGCAGAAAAAAAAAGUGUUAGAAGUGCCAGCCUUGUUGAGCAAGCAUUCUGAAUUUUUUUGUGCCAGGAACCUUUCCUCUGAUGGAUGGAGACGGAAAAGCAAAUGUAGGGCAGGGAACAGCUGCAGAUGAUGAGCUGAGUGGAGCUUAACUCAGCCUUGUAAAUAUGCCUGUAAAACUUAGAAGCCUGUACAAAUUUUUAUAAGCAUGUUAUAGAGCAUGUUGAAUUUUUCAACUUUCAAAAAUGAGGGGUGCUAAAAAAUUGUAACACAACUUCGGAAUUCAAAAGAUCUUUUGGUUAAAUUAAUAUAAUUAAGUUUUGCUUGGUAAGUAAAAUGUGUGCAAAAUUGCAUAAAAUCAUUAAAAAUGAUUGCCAAGUACUUCUAGUUAUAUUAUAUAUUAGUAUUUAUUAUCAUUAGCUAUUAUUAGUUGCUGUUGUUUUGUUCUUGUUAUGUUGCAUUACCUGACAAUUUUCAGAAGGUAAAAUUUAAAUUCUUUGGUUUUCUGAAAGCAGUGUAUGUGCUUCUUCAUCAGAAGUAGACUUACAAAACCAAAUGUUGUCCAAUCACAAAAAUAAUAGCAGAUUUGAAUUAACACACCCCACCACCAUUAAUACAGCAAAUACCUUUAACUGGGAUGUAGUUGCCUAAAUAUAAUGAGGAUGGGUAGUCCCUAUAUUCUAUUUUUAGAAGAGUUUCCUCAAUACACAUCUAGCUUUCAUGCCAACUGUAAAUCAUCGUGUUAGCAAUUUGUGUGAAUGUUGAAGUGUGGCAGAAAACACAGUUUAACUUGUCUUUAGACUGCAGUAAUGGACAAAUAUACACUGAACUGUUUAUUUUUCAAUUUUUCCUUCUGUCUCACUACCACUUUGCUCCACUCACCGGAUGUGCUUUAUACAUGGUUUGUGUCAUAGGAAAUUCUUCAAAAGUCUUUAUUCUGGAUGGACACCUUAUCUGAUUCCCACCAGUUAAACAGCCAGGGAAAGACACACAGUUAUAAUAUCUGGGAAAGGACAUAAAGUAAAGGGUGAAUCAGAAAAGAUACUGGUGGAACAUACACAUUAAAUAAGGAAAUCUUCACUUUGUGCUCUUCAGGUCAGCAAUACUGGGAAAAAAGAGGGUAGCUGUUAACGGCUGUGCAGACACAUACUUCUGAGGAAUAAUGGGUAGAUGAAUUUCAUAAGGAAAGCAAAUAGAUCAAACUGUUUUAUAUCAGAAAGUUAAACAAUGCUUUCAUCUCCCCAUCUCCUGACUUGCAAAUAAAAGCAUCCCAUCUUGUAAGAGAGAGGAGAGGAAAGCGUAGUCUUUGCAACUGCAUAGCAUGGACAACGUCUCUUGACAAUGGAACCACAGCUUAAUGCCUGACUGCAGCACCGUGGUUAAUUCUGACAAACAGCGCAAGGUAUACCCAGAGGUUUCCCUGAACAGCUGCUAUAUGAAGGUUCCUACCUGGAGAAUCUGAGCAACGCUAUUCUUGUCUACUGAGCUAACUAUUCUAUUGUU